UUAAUUGGAUAUUAACAUAAUAUUGUUUAGGUGUCAAAUGCUCAGACAUGGUUAAUAAAAAAUAAUGAAAAAAAUAUGCAUGCUUGUAAAAAUAUUAGUAGGAUUUGAGAUAGUCCAACUUGUCUAGGCAUCAUACUCCAAUGCUAAGCCACAGAUUAGUGUCAAGUUCCCAGCAAUUACACCACUACUCACGCACCAAUGACACCUAUCUGUUUUGUG
rnacentral:lncRNA from 1 species